AUUGAACGCUGGCGGCAUGCCUUACACAUGCAAGUCGAACGGCAGCACGGGAGCAAUCCUGGUGGCGAGUGGCGAACGGGUGAGUAAUACAUCGGAACGUGCCCAGUCGUGGGGGAUAACGCAGCGAAAGCUGUGCUAAUACCGCAUACGAUUUACGGAUGAAAGCGGGGGAUCGCAAGACCUCGCGCGAUUGGAGCGGCCGAUAUCAGAUUAGCUAGUUGGUGGGGUAAAGGCCCACCAAGGCGACGAUCUGUAGCUGGUCUGAGAGGACGGCCAGCCACACUGGAACUGAGGCGCGGUCCAGACUCCUACGGGAGGCAGCAGUGGGGAAUUUUGGACAAUGGGCGAAAGCCUGAUCCAGCAAUGCCGCGUGCAGGACGAAGGCCUUCGGGUUGUAAACUGCUUUUGUACGGAACGAAACGGUCUCUUCUAAUAAAGGGGGCUAAUGACGGUACCGUAAGAAUAAGCACCGGCUAACUACGUGCCAGCAGCCGCGGUAA
rnacentral:rRNA from 1 species